rnacentral:rRNA from 1 species
UACGUAGGGGGCAAGCGUUGUCCGGAAUCAUUGGGCGUAAAGCGCGUGUAGGCGGCCCGGUAAGUCCGCUGUGAAAGUCGGGGGCUCAACCCUCGAAUGCCGGUGGAUACUGUCGGGCUAGAGUGCGGGAGAGGCGAGUGGAAUUCCUGGUGUAGCGGUGAAAUGCGCAGAUAUCAGGAGGAACACCAAUUGCGAAGGCAGCUCGCUGGAACGUAACUGACGCUGGAGACGCGAAAGCGUGGGGAG